rnacentral:rRNA from 1 species
UACGUAGGCAGCAAGCGUUGUUCGGAGUUACUGGGCGUAAAGGGUGCGUAGGCGGGUCUUUAAGUCAGGGGUGAAAUCCUGGAGCUCAACUCCAGAACUGCCUUUGAUACUGAAGAUCUUGAGUUCGGGAGAGGUGAGUGGAACUGCGAGUGUAGAGGUGAAAUUCGUAGAUAUUCGCAAGAACACCAGUGGCGAAGGCGGCUCACUGGCCCGGAACUGACGCUGAGACGCGAAAGCGUGGGGAGCAAACAGG